GACGAACGCUGGCGGCGUGCGUAACACAUGCAAGUCGAACGAGAGAGUGAGAGAAGCUUGCUUUUCUUACGAUCGAGUGGCAAACGGGUGAGUAACGCGUAAACAACCUGCCCCGCAGAUGGGGACAACAGCUGGAAACGGCUGCUAAUACCGAAUACGGUCCUCUUAGCGCAUGGUAAGAGGAAGAAAGGGUGGCCUCUGGAACAAGCUACCGCUGUGGGAGGGGUUUGCGUCUGAUUAGCUGGUUGGAGGGGUAACGGCCCACCAAGGCGACGAUCAGUAGCCGGUCUGAGAGGAUGAACGGCCACAUUGGAACUGAGACACGGUCCAGACUCCUACGGGAGGCAGCAGUGGGGAAUCUUCCGCAAUGGGCGAAAGCCUGACGGAGCAACGCCGCGUGAGUGAAGACGGCCUUCGGGUUGUAAAGCUCUGUUAUAGGGGACGAACGGCCGGGUAGCGAAGAGGUACCCGG
rnacentral:rRNA from 1 species